rnacentral:rRNA from 1 species
UACGUAGGGGGCAAGCGUUGUCCGGAAUCAUUGGGCGUAAAGAGCGCGUAGGCGGCCCUGUAAGUCCGCUGUGAAAGUCCAGGGCUCAACCCUGGAAAGCGGGUGGAUACUGCCGGGCUAGAGUACGGAAGAGGCGAGUGGAAUUCCUGGUGUAGCGGUGGAAUGCGCAGAUAUCAGGAGGAACACCUAUAGCGAAGGCAGCUCGCUGGGACGUUACUGACGCUGAGGCGCGAAAGCGUGGGGAGCGAACAGG